AGUGAACGCUGGCGGUAGGCCUAACACAUGCAAGUCGAACGGCAGCACAGUAAGAGCUUGCUCUUACGGGUGGCGAGUGGCGGACGGGUGAGGAAUACAUCGGAAUCUACUUUUUCGUGGGGGAUAACGUAGGGAAACUUACGCUAAUACCGCAUACGACCUACGGGUGAAAGCAGGGGAUCUUCGGACCUUGCGCGAUUGAAUGAGCCGAUGUCGGAUUAGCUAGUUGGCGGGGUAAAGGCCCACCAAGGCGACGAUCCGUAGCUGGUCUGAGAGGAUGAUCAGCCACACUGGAACUGAGACACGGUCCAGACUCCUACGGGAGGCAGCAGUGGGGAAUAUUGGACAAUGGUCGCAAGCCUGAUCCAGCCAUACCGCGUCGGUGAAGAAGGCCUUCGGGUUGUAAAGCCCUUUUGUUGGGAGAGAAAAGCAGCAGGUUAAUACCCCGCUGUUCUGACGGUACCCAAAGAAUAAGCACCGGCUAACUUCGUG
rnacentral:rRNA from 1 species